AUCCAGCUGACGAGUCUCAAAUGAGACGAAACGAGUGCCAAACUGGAU
rnacentral:hammerhead_ribozyme from 1 species